rnacentral:rRNA from 1 species
UGAGGAACAUGACCUUCGGCGGGGGAUAGCCGGCCCAACGGCCGGGUAAUACCGCGUACGACCUUUUGGGGACAUCCCCGAUUGGUGAAAGCAGCAAUGCGCCGAAAGAGUGCCUCGCGGCCUAUCAGCUAGUUGGUGGGGUAAUGGCUCACCAAGGCGACGACGGGUAGCUGGUCUGAGAGGAUGGCCAGCCACAUUGGGACUGAGACACGGCCCAGACUCCGUACGGGAGCAGC